rnacentral:rRNA from 1 species
UACGGAGGGUGCAAGCGUUAUCCGGAUUCACUGGGUUUAAAGGGUGCGUAGGUGGUCUGUUAAGUCAGCGGUGAAAGCCUGGAGCUCAACUCCAGAAUUGCCAUUGAUACUGACGGACUUGAAUCAAGUUGAGGUGGAUGGAAUAUUACAUGUAGCGGUGAAAUGCUUAGAUAUGUAAUAGAACACCAAUUGCGAAGGCAGUUCACUAAGCUUGUAUUGACACUGAGGCACGAAAGCGUGGGGAGCAAACAGG